AUGUAGUACAAUGGCUUUGUUUUUGUGUUGGCGUUUGGCCAAUAUUAUGUAAGAUAAACUUAAAUUGGUUGAUUCAUAUGAAUUUUUUCCAGACCACUGCGACUUCACUGUCUACUUUUCUGCCUCUUUAAAAUCGAAGACCAGAUCAGCAUAGCCCAAGAUGACCUUUUUGCGAUUUGCGAUGCAAUCACCGUUCUCCUGAAGCGUUUCAGGCAGGAACAUGUCACCGCAUGCAUUUUUCAAAGCGUUUCGGUCGAUGUUGGAGAGUAAAAUUGGACAUUUUCUACUAACAAUUCAUGGAAAAAUUAAAAUAUGCAGGCGGAUCGAACGGAAACGGCGCAGAGCGACCGACUGAGACGAGAGAGAUGGGUCCCAUGCUGCCCCGCCGCUGCUGCGCUGCCUGCCUGCCUCGGCGGCGCGGAGAGAGAUUGCGCGUCGAAUUUGCGAGACGCAUCAGGACCUACACCAACAAAAGAGCGAGCAGCGCUAUGAAUGGGCUUAAAGGGCAGCUCUCACAAAACAGGCAGGUGAAUAGAGGAGAAUGAGCUGAGGCCCCAGGAUAAUAAAACAUAAUAUACAUCUACCCACCCUGUGCACACACGGUAAUGAACUGCGCGUAUAUUUAUUUAUUUAUUUAUUGCACGAGCAUAUAAGUCCGAGGCGAAACAAUGCGCCGAGAAAUUCGAUACAUCUCGCAGCCAGCUAUAUAUACGAGGGGUUGGCGCGCACGAAAAUCCUGCCGCGCGGAGAGAGAAGACGUAGAGGUGCGCAAAGAAAAAAAGGUUGACCUAGGACGCGAGUGCGCCAGAAAGAGAGAGAGAGAGAAAGAGAUGCAUUGCUCCCGAUUAUAAUUGAUUGCGCUGUUGAUGGACACGCGAGGACUGAGAUUGAGAGACUUGUGUGACAACGAUGAACGGGUGCCCUUUUUAUGAUCGCUUUCUGCUGCGAUGUACCAUGCUGGCCGAUGCUAUAUACAAGAUAGUAAAAAUUGCAUCUCGAAAACUGUUCAUUUAAUCUCACGAAUAAUGACAAUUUAAGCAUUAAUUUAUGUAUUGAACUCUUUUAUGUACACGUCUAUAAAUAGGUAGUGGAAAAAUUGCGCAGAGCUCAACGACCAAACGUGAAUUUCCUUGUUGGAAGAAAACGGUAAUAAUCAACUCUGUACAAUGAAAUUUUAUUGGAUGUUUGUUGAGCGACGCACAAUUAUUUCUUCAAAUGUUAAAUUCACGCUAUGAUUUUGAAUCAAUUUAACGAUUCCUUUGAUAGAUGGCACAAAAGAGAUCAGAUUUUUCUUAAAUUUUGUGCUGUUGUGCGUCAAAACAUUAAGGGUUUCAUUUAAAUUUAUUUUUAUGCUGUUGAGUCUUACCUCAUAAAUUUUGCAAGCUGUCCGUUUACAAGAAAGAAGGGGCCGAGAAAUUAUUCUUCAAUUUUCUGAGAACUCAAAAUAUUUAGAUAGGAUAUAAAAAUAUACAUCUUGUGUGGUUUUCAAAAAUUUUCAGACUUGAAUAGUGAUUGUCUUUUGCUUUUCAUUUUGCUGUCAAGAAUUUGGCUAUGGCUGUCAAUUAUUCAAAGGAAUCGAAAGGACCCUAAAAUCUAUGACCGAUAACCCCUUAAUAGGUACACGCACCUGUAGUACACUUGUGUAAACAAGUUUUUUGCUGCGUCACUGAGUCGAGAACUCCCGUGGAGUGGGUCUCUCUCAAUUAUUUUUUGUACAUUCGCACAAUACAUGAAAUUUUAACUUGCACCCCGCAGUUUAGAGAUCUAUUACAUGGUGCGCCCUGAAGGCUGAUUCUGAAAAUAAACCAUAUUUCAAAUAAGACAAAACGCAGUGAGUGCGCACAAAGUUUGUCAAUAAUAUUUUACGUGUUAAAUUCUUUUGCAAGGGAAGUAAAAAUCGCUCGUUGAAAAUUUUGUCUUUUUAUUUAUUCUUACUAAAUUUUGCUUUCAACUGC